UACAGAGGUGGCAAGCGUUGUUCGGAAUUACUGGGCGUAAAGGGCGAGUAGGUGGCCAUCUAAGUCAGACGUGAAAUCCCCCGGCUUAACCUGGGAACUGCGUCUGAUACUGGACGGCUAGAGUAUGGGAGAGGGAUGUAGAAUUCCAGGUGUAGCGGUGAAAUGCGUAGAUAUCUGGAGGAAUACCGGUGGCGAAGGCGGCAUCCUGGACCGGUAUUGACGCUGAGGCGCGAAAGCUAGGGGAGCAAACGGG
rnacentral:rRNA from 1 species